rnacentral:lncRNA from 1 species
AGUAAGUAAUAGUUUUGAAUCUUUUGAUGAUUUUUCCAAAUUUCAACUCUCUUUUUAUUUUCUUUAUAUAGUUUCUAAUAUAUUUUUUGAUAAAAUUCUUCGUGUGUAUAUACAGCGAAAGAAAUAUCCGCGGGAACCCUUGUAUAUGUAGCCUAUAGAUCUGGGGAUUUUACAGGCCUUUUAAAAACUUACGACCUAUGUGAUGUGAGUUUGGCAUGUAACAUUGAUUCUGAGAUUGAAGCUGGCGACGUGUUUGACUUCAGUCUUAAAGACGUUCUUUAUGUUGGUUUUGAUGAGGUAACUAUUUUUAAUACUCUUUGUAUAUGAAUUUGAAGUUUCCUUAAGAAGUCCUAGGACCAAUGUUUUCUCAAGUAAUGCUUUUGGGUUCAUGAUGUUCUUUGUUUCUCAUUAAUUCUUCUUUUUAACUUGGCAGGGAAUCAAGUAUUCCGUAUCUUUGCGUCAAAAAACCGCAGAGGAGGAGGAUCCAAUAAUAAAAAUGUGUAUCGACUUCAAAGUACCUGCCUCAGCUUCUGCAUUUGUCUCUAUUUAGUCACGUUGGCUGAUGAAAAGAUGUUUCCAACUCUUUCAUUAUAUGACUCUUUCUCGCUUGCAUUUUUCCUUUUUUAUGUGUUGUCCAACAAAUAAAUCAAAUCCUUGAACCGAUAUCGCUAUAGAUAUUGCUUUGUUGUAAUUUUGGCCUGAUUAAUAUGAACCAACAUGCCUUUCCUUGAAUUUUCUGGUUGAUAUUGAUCAAAAAUAAAGUUUUUUACAGAGGAAAUGUUUUACGAGUAGCGGAUACGCAUAAUAAAACGCAGAAUAGAACGGAAAUAUGAGGAGACUUUCAAAUAAUUACAACAAAGUUGGAUGAUUAUGCGAUUUGUUUUGGUAACCAGUUGGAUGAUUUUACUAAUUAUAUGAUAGCUCUAUAAAUUCACAACUUACACUUUGCAAUUCCCCAAUCUUGGUGACUAAGCUAAAACUAAAUGAAUGCUAUCAUUCUCCAUGGUUUUUCACUUGAUCAAUUUUUAUUUUUCAUUUUUGGUGAUGAAAUCAUAUUUCUUAGCUUCCGAAACUAAUCAUAAACUCUGCAAGGUAUAAAGAACCGGUGGUGUGCUAAACAUUAGACAACUGGUUAAGCAACCUUACGCUAAUACUUUUUCUUGCUAAGAUACAACAUCAAGAGUCAAGACAUCUCCUUGAGAUAUAUAGGCUGACUUUGCUAGCCGUUAAAUGUUAACUUUACGUUCUUUUCAAAUCUGCAGAUUUUAAAUUAUAAAAAAAAGAAAAAAAAUGUGUUUACAAUAAUUAUCUUCGAGACGGACGUGAUUGUGAAUGAGAAAACUUGGUAGUUAAGAUAUAAUAAAUAAUCAAUUAUGAUCAUACUAAUAUUUAAGAUUCUCGCUUAUAAUGUGGGAUAAAGAAUUGACAAUUGAUCAUACAUUCAUACUAAUAUUUUAAGAUUCUCGCUCUUAUAAUGUGGGAUAAAGAAUUGACAUUGAUCAUGUACUAAUAUCUUAAGAUUCUCGCUGAUAAUGUGGGAGAUUAAAAUAAUGGAUAUAAUGUAUACAGGCUAUAGCAUCCUGCACUAACGAUCCCAUCUACUUAUUCUGAAGAUUAUAAAAUAGCAGGCUUGCAUAUAUAGAAGAAUAACAUGUACCUAACUUUUUAGUCAAACAAUCAAAACAAAAAAUCCAAGAAGCUUUGAAGAACCAUGGCGAUGUCUCAUAUCCAGCCUGUGCUUUUCUUCCUUGCAUCUCUCUUCUUCUUACCGGCUUUGUGCAGCGCCAUCGAUUUUGAAUAUUGCACUAGUAAGUAUCGGUUUGUUAAUUGUUAAGUCUUCAGUGUUGUAUAUUAUUUUCGUGUGUUUAAUUAUAGAAAACACCUAUAAAUCAAUUCAAUCAUUCAUAUAGGCCUUGAUUUCUUAGUUUGACAUAUGAACUCUAUAUCCAAGGGUUUUGUACCUAGUGGAACUCAUCAUAAGUUCUAACUUUCACGAUCAAUCGCUACGGCUGCUGCAGAAAAUGGACACGAUUACGGUAGCAUCUCUCAGAUCUGGGUCUCUCCCUCUGAUGGGCCUCAGGAAAACCCAACCAUCACUAUACAUUUAUUCGGUUCUGCAAGUAAGUAACAGUUUUGAUGAUCUUCCCAAAGUUUCAAGUCUCUUUUUUUCUUUAUAUAGUUUCUAAUAUUUUCUUGAUAAAAUCUUUCUUAUAUAUAUAGGCAAAGACAUAUCCGCAGGAACCCUUGUGUAUGUUACCUAUAGAUCUGGGGAUUUUACAGGCCUUUUAAAAACUUACGACCUAUGUGAUGUGAGUGCAUGUAACCCUGAAUAUGUGAUUGAAGCUGGCACCGACUUUGAGUUGACUCUUUCCGACGUUCUUUAUGUUGG